rnacentral:rRNA from 1 species
GAGUUUGAUCCUGGCUCAGGAUGAACGCUAUCGGCAGGCCUAAUACAUGCAAGUCGAGGGGCAGCACGAGUACUUGUACUUGGUGGCGACCGGCGCACGGGUGCGUAACGCGUAUGCAACCUACCCUAUACUGGGGGAUAGCCCGAGGAAACUCGGAUUAAUACCCCAUGGUACUAUAAGUUCGCAUGGAUUAAUAGUUAAAGAUUUAUCGGUAUAGGAUGGGCAUGCGUUAGAUUAGCUAGUUGGUGAGGUAAUGGCUCACCAAGGCCACGAUCUAUAGGGGACCUGAGAGGGUGAUCCCCCACACUGGUACUGAGAUACGGACCAGACUCCUACGGGAGGCAGCAGUAGGGAAUAUUGGUCAAUGGGGGAGACUCUGAACCAGCCAUGCCGCGUGCAGGAAGACGGCCUUCUGGGUUGUAAACUGCUUUUGACAGGGAAGAAAACGGCCAUGCGUGGCUAACUGACGGUACCUGUAGAAUAAGCACCGGCUAACUCCGUGCCAGCAGCCGCGGUAAUACGGAGGGUGCAAGCGUUGUCCGGAUUUAUUGGGUUUAAAGGGUGCGUAGGCGGUAAAUUAAGUCAGAGGUGAAAGCCCACAGCUUAACUGUGGAACUGCCUUUGAUACUGGUUUACUUGAGUACACUUGAGGUAGGCGGAAUUUAUGGUGUAGCGGUGAAAUGCAUAGAUACCAUAAGGAACUCCGAUAGCGAAGGCAGCUUACUAAAUUGUCACUGACGCU